GGAGAGCGAAUAUUAGGACAAUGGGCGCAAGCCUGAUCCAGCCAUGCCGCGUGUGUGAAGAAGGCCUUAUGGUUGUAAAGCACUUUAAGCGAGGAGGAGGCUACUUUAGUUAAUACCUAGAGAUAGUGGACGUUACUCGCAGAAUAAGCACCGGCUAACUCUGUGCCAGCAGCCGCGGUAAAUGA
rnacentral:rRNA from 1 species